UGGGAACCUUCUCAUCUUCCUGCUGGGCUC
rnacentral:piRNA from 1 species